GAUGAACGCUAGCGGCAGGCUUAAUACAUGCAAGUCGAACGGGAAUUGGGUAGCAAUACCUGAUGAUAGUGGCGCACGGGUGCGUAACGCGUAUGCAACCUACCUUUAACAGGGGGAUAGCCCGGAAGAAAUUCGGAUUAAUACCCCAUAGUAUUAUGGAGAGGCAUCUUUUCAUGAUUAAAGUUCCGGCGGUUAAAGAUGGGCAUGCGUGCCAUUAGCUAGUUGGUGAGGUAACGGCUCACCAAGGCGACGAUGGUUAGGGGUCCUGAGAGGGUUACUCCCCCACACUGGUACUGAGACACGGACCAGACUCCUACGGGAGGCAGCAGUAAGGAAUAUUGGUCAAUGGGCGAAGCCUGAACCAGCCAUGCCGCGUGCAGGAAGACGGCCUUAUGGGUUGUAAACUGCUUUUGUCAGGGAAUAAACCCUCGUUUGCGAACGAGGCUGAAGGUACCUGAAGAAUAAGCAUCGGCUAACUCCGUG
rnacentral:rRNA from 1 species